CAGCCAGGGAUGGAUCCGGCUGCCUCCAUCUUGGCAUUUCCAUCCUGGGGGGACCCAUGGCUUCCCAGCCCCACCCAUCCCCUUUCUGCCCCGUUUUCCCAGGGAAGUGGAUGUUUGCUGUCUGCCUGGCCGCAGCAGCGUGGCAGGGAGGAUUCAACCUAUUUCACCCUCUGCUGAUUUCCCUCCAUGAUAAAUCCCAUCCCCUCCGCUGCGGGAAGCGGCAUCAGUUUAAUUACUUGUGGGGAGAAGGGGGCAGCGGAGGAACUUAGGACUUGUUUUAAAUAUCACUUUUAUUAGCAGGUAAUCCUGAAGCUCAGGACUGUAAUAUAGAUAGGUAGUGAUGUGGCACAUUUAAUUUACUUAGGUGCUACUGUGUGUCAGCCUUUGUGCCGUAAGUCCCAGUCCUGGCUUUAAAGAGCUUGGCAGCCAUAUUUUCACAAAUUUAUAAUUAUCUGGGAAAAAGCUGGGGCUACAGAUGGAGCAGUGGGUUGUAUGUUUCCAAUUCCCAUUGUGUCUGGGAUCAGAAAAACUCAUCCCGUGGCAGAACAUGGCUCAGGAGAGAGGUCUCCAUGGUGUGCUGAUGCCUGGGGUGUGGGGUAGGCCAUAGUGGACACCAUGUGGGAGUGGUCCCCAAGGUCACCUGCUGAUCCUAUGUCAAAACUCGCCACGUGCCUUUUGGCACUCAUCCAUGCUGCCCUCACAUGGGAUGGUGCAUCUCCUCCCAGCCCAGCCCUGGGGAGAGUCCUGGUCCAGCCCAGAGUGCAGAACAGCAGUGCUCCAUUUCCAUGGUGAUGGUUGGUAGUGUGACAACAAAGGACAGUCGCUGCACUGCAGGGAUCAUCACACAGGACAGCGGGAUGGAGAGGAGAGAGGCUGCGGCGGCGGCUGCAGUCCCCACCUCAGAGAGGACACACAAUCCCAGGCCAAGUAUCUGCCAGUGAAGUUUUCCCCUCUUCUCCCUGCUCCAGUGUGAAAGUCACCCGCUGGGAUGCAGCGGCCUCGUUCUAUUCCGUAUGGAGCCAUGUCAGGGUUGCCUGAGGUGCUGCCACCCCUGAGGGUUCCUGGGACUGGGGCAGGCGUUGUUCUGUCCCACUCCAUGCUGGAUGCUCCUGCUUUCCCUCCCUGCACGUGGAGUUCGGUGGGAGCAGCCAAGUUUCCCCACUGCCGAGGACCAUGGUAAAUAUUUGUAGGAGUUCCAUUUCCUGUGUGCGAGCACGGCUGCCUCACCAUUCAUGCAGCCGAGGGAGCGGAUUUGUGACUGGUGGGAGCCAAGGCCUCGGAUGAGGAGAUCAAGGACAGGAUUUCAUUUUCUCAAAUACAUCCACUCCACAUUUCUUUA